rnacentral:rRNA from 2 species
AGAUUAAGUUAUUAAGGGCGCACGGUGGAUGCCUUGGCACUAGAAGCCGAUGAAGGACGUUACUAACGACGAUAUGCUUUGGGGAGCUGUAAGUAAGCUUUGAUCCAGAGAUUUCCGAAUGGGGAAACCCAGCAUGAGUUAUGUCAUGUUAUCGAUAUGUGAAUACAUAGCAUAUCAGAAGGCACACCCGGAGAACUGAAACAUCUUAGUACCCGGAGGAAGAGAAAGAAAAUUCGAUUCCCUUAGUAGCGGCGAGCGAAACGGGAAGAGCCCAAACCAACAAGCUUGCUUGUUGGGGUUGUAGGACACUCUAUACGGAGUUACAAAGGACGACAUUAGACGAAUCAUCUGGAAAGAUGAAUCAAAGAAGGUAAUAAUCCUGUAGUCGAAAAUGUUGUCUCUCUUGAGUGGAUCCUGAGUACGACGGAGCACGUGAAAUUCCGUCGGAAUCAGGGAGGACCAUCUCCUAAGGCUAAAUACUCUCUAGUGACCGAUAGUGAACCAGUACCGUGAGGGAAAGGUGAAAAGCACCCCGGAAGGGGAGUGAAAUAGAACCUGAAACCGUGUGCUUACAAGUAGUCAGAGCCCGUUAAUGGGUGAUGGCGUGCCUUUUGUAGAAUGAACCGGCGAGUUACGAUUUGAUGCA